GAGCAAAUUUGCAUAAACACAAAAACUCUUUGCCCCAAAGCACUGAGAGGGAAGAAGAGGGUCCUCAUAAAGGCAGCAGUGCUGUUAGGUCUCAGGAGCUAGAUCUCUAGGCACCUCCACCAUGGCCUGGACCCUUCUCCUGCUUCCCCUCCUCACUCUCUGCACAGGUUCUGUGACCACCUAUGACUUGACGCAACCACACUCAACUUCGGUGGCCCUAGGACAGACAGCGACAAUCACCUGCUCUGGAGAUAAUCUCGAGGAUGAAUAUGCUUACUGGUACCAGCAGAAGACAGGCCAGUCCCCUGCCCUGGUCAUUUAUAAGGAUAGUGAGCACCCCUCAGGGAUCCCUGACCGGUUCUCUGGCUCAAACUCAGGAAACACAGCCACGCUGACCAUCAGAGGGGCCAAGACAGAGGACAAGGCUGACUAUUACUGCCAAUCGUGGAGCAGUGCUAAUGCUCACAGUGACACAGGCUGA